CCUACGGGAGGCAGCAGUGGGGAAUAUUGCACAAUGGAGGGAACUCUGAUCCAGCGACGCCGCGUGAGUGAAGACGUAAUUCGUUAUGUAAAGCUCUAUCAGCAGGGAAGAAAGUGACGGUACCUGAAAAAGACGCUCCGGCUAAAUACGUGCCAGCAGCCGCGGUAAUACGUAUGGAGCAAGCGUUAUCCGGAUUUACUGGGUGUAAAGGGCGUGUAGGCGGGCUGACAAGUCAGAUGUGAAAUCCGGGGGCUCAACCCCCGAACUGCAUUUGAAACUGUUGGUCUUGAGUGUAGGAGAGGCAGGCGGAAUUCCUGGUGUAGCGGUGAAAUGCGUAGAGAUUAGGAGGAACACCAGUGGCGAAGGCGGCCUGCUGGGCGACAACUGACGGUGAGGCGCGAAAGCGUGGGGAGCAAACAGGAUUAGAUACCCGAGUAGUC
rnacentral:rRNA from 1 species